CAGUAGAGAAGCGCAACCAUAGUCAGAAUCACAUCAGCCAGUUUGCCACUUAAUCUGUAAUUACACUUGCAACAAGAAGUUGAGAGAGGAUGAAGGACACCAAGGCUCUACAUCAUGGGACCAGGCUUGACACAGCGAGGAGGUGUGUUGUGAGCCGUGCUGCAUCUGCUCUGAGUCACGCUGCGGCAGUUAACGUGCCCCAAACCAGUAACUUCCUCCCCGUGAGGUUGGGAAGGACCAACACCCCAUCUGACGGAGUGGUCACGGGGCUUGCCCGGUGCCAGGCACGGGGCUGGCAUCACCCACACUGGUUGGGCAGUCCCACAGCCUGGUGUGAGAUGGAGACAAGAGGAGCGGCAACGGCACUGAGCCAUCCCGCUGUGGUGGUGCAAACAGCAAGAUGAAGUAUCAACCCAUAAAACAUCGAGAGGAGCAAAGACGGAGCCGCCACUCUCCAAGCCACUGGACUGCCAUCGCUGUACAUCUUGUGUGCGGCUUUGUGGUGUCUAUGAAUCAGCGUUACCCUCUACAGCUCUUCCCCUCCAUCCUUCUCAGCACCCACUCCACACUGGGAAAGCCAGGAACCUUACUGGAGGACAGGAAGCAUUUGCUAACACCCUAUUUAAUGCACAUUUUUCUAAAAGCAAUGGAGGAGUUGAGGGGAAAAAGCAAGAAUUGCAGGAAUUGCUCAUUUCAUUUCCUGUGGUUUCAUAAUUCUGUUGCUUACCAAUUUUGAAUUUCACAAAGCCUGUGGUUUCCCAACAGCCUUCGUCUGUGGGGAGGAUACAUUUCAGUAGCAUACUGAACUGACAUGAAAUCCCAAACAAAAAUAAUAUGACAGCAAUUGGCGUUCUAAGCUAUGUGAGAAAGAAAUAUAAAUACCCCGCUGGCUGCGUUUGGCCCAGACAAGGAAGCAAAGCAAAACAACCCAGUGUCAGCAGGUAACCUCUGAGGGCGAGAACCAGAGAUCACCUGAAACCCUGGGUCUCCAUCCCUACACAAAAUGAACCCAAGCGCGGGCCAGAGCCUCACAGCCCCACCGGCCCGUAACUGAUCGCUGGUUUUUGGGAGUGGAAAACACCCAAUUGCACGUUUGAAAACCACCGUGUGUUUCCACUGCCUUUGGGUCCUGGCGAGGAGUGUGCUGUGGCGGGUGGCAGGACGGGAGCAGUGGGGGCUCUGGUGGGUUUUCAUCCACAGGGUUUAUCAUCCAGGUUUGGCACUGGGACCCCCUUGCUGGGUUCCUCUGCCUCCUGAUCCCCUCCAGCUGGCCCAGUCCAGCCUGGAGCAUCACUCCACUCCC